rnacentral:tRNA from 3 species
GCCUUCGUAGCUCAAUGGUUAGAUCAUCCGACUCUUAACUUUCAGAGUCAGAUCGGAAGGCUGUGGGUUCGAGUCCCACCGAGGGCU